AGUGAACGCUGGCGGUAGGCCUAACACAUGCAAGUCGAACGGCAGCACAGUAAGAGCUUGCUCUUACGGGUGGCGAGUGGCGGACGGGUGAGGAAUACAUCGGAAUCUACUUUUUCGUGGGGGAUAACGUAGGGAAACUUACGCUAAUACCGCAUACGACCUACGGGUGAAAGCAGGGGAUCUUCGGACCUUGCGCGAUUGAAUGAGCCGAUGUCGGAUUAGCUAGUUGGCGGGGUAAAGGCCCACCAAGGCGACGAUCCGUAGCUGGUCUGAGAGGAUGAUACGCCACACUGAAACUGAGACACGGUCCAAACUCCUACGGGGGGCAGCAGGGGGGAAUAUUGGAAAAGGGGCGAAAGCCUGAUCCAGCCAUACCGCGGGGGUGAAGAAGGCCUUCGGGUUGUAAAGCCCUUUUGUUGGGAAAAAAAAGAAGCAGGUUAAUACCCCGCUGUUCUGACGGUACCCAAAAAAAAAGCACCGGCUAACUUCGU
rnacentral:rRNA from 1 species